UACGUAGGGUGCGAGCGUUGUCCGGAAUUAUUGGGCGUAAAGGGCUCGUAGGCGGUCUGUCACGUCGGGAGUGAAAACACGGGGCUUAACCCCGUGCCUGCUUCCGAUACGGGCAGACUAGAGGUAUGCAGGGGAGAACGGAAUUCCUGGUGUAGCGGUGAAAUGCGCAGAUAUCAGGAGGAACACCGGUGGCGAAGGCGGUUCUCUGGGCAUUACCUGACGCUGAGGAGCGAAAAGUGUGGGGGAGCGAACAGG
rnacentral:rRNA from 1 species